rnacentral:rRNA from 1 species
CCUACGGGCGGCAGCAGUGGGGAAUAUUGGACAAUGGGCGAAAGCCUGAUCCAGCCAUGCCGCGUGUGUGAAGAAGGCCUUCGGGUUGUAAAGCACUUUCAGUGGGGAAGAAAGCCUUGGGGCUAAUACCCUCGAGGAAGGACAUCACCCACAGAAGAAGCACCGGCUAACUCCGUGCCAGCAGCCGCGGUAAUACGGAGGGUGCGAGCGUUAAUCGGAAUUACUGGGCGUAAAGCGCGCGUAGGCGGUCUGAUAAGCCGGUUGUGAAAGCCCCGGGCGCAACCUGGGAACGGCAUCCGGAACUGUCAGGCUAGAGUGCAGGAGAGGAAGGUAGAAUUCCCGGUGUAGCGGUGAAAUGCGUAGAGAUCGGGAGGAAUACCAGUGGCGAAGGCGGCCUUCUGGACUGACACUGACGCUGAGGUGCGAAAGCGUGGGUAGCAAACAGGAUUAGAUACCCUAGUAGUC